rnacentral:sRNA from 1 species
UCUUUUACAAAGCUAUAAGAUAUUUAUGUACCCAUUUUGUAAUUCUCCACUUAAACUGACAUGUUUGAUGAACUUGGCAGUCUAACUGCAUUGGUUAAAAGGAUGCACAUUUAUAUUUCUAAAUGAAAUGGAAUACUGAAUUUAAAAGGUGAUGUUUUCUCUAUUAAGUAUGAAAAUCGAUACAAACCUGGCCGGGCACGGUGGCUCACGCCUGUAAUCCCAGCGCUUUGGGAGGCCAAGGCGGGUGGAUCACAAGGUCAGGAGAUCGAGACCAUCCUGGCUAACAUGGUGAAACCCUGUCUCUACUAAAAAUACAAAAAAUUAGCCAGGCAUGGUGGCGGGCA